rnacentral:misc_RNA from 1 species
GAUGAAGAACGCAGCGAAAUGCGAUAAGUAAUGUGAAUUGCAGAAUUCAGUGAAUCAUCGAAUCUUUGAACGCACCUUGCGCUCCUUGGUAUUCCGAGGAGCAUGCCUGUUUGAGUGUCAUGAAAUUCUCAACCUUUUCAGCUUUCUUUGUUGAUCAGGCUUGGAUGUGGGAGUAUGCGGGCUUUUCAGAAGUCGGCUCUCCUGAAAUGCAUUAGCGGGACCUUUGUUGCCUGGCUUUGGUGUGAUAAUUAUCUACGCCAUUGUGGUCAAGCAGCUUAAAAUGAGGUUUCAGCUUCUAACCGUCUCCCCUGAGACAACUUUUUGACAAUUUGACCUCAAAUCAGGUAGGACUACCCGCUGAACUUAAGCAUAUCAAUAAGCGGAGGA